AUGAGACAGUACUGGUGGGGCAUUGAAAAAGGGAAGAAAAAGAUGGCCUGGCUCAGUUGUGACAAAAUGAUGUUGUCAAAAUCAAAAGGUGGUAUGGGGUUUCAUGAUAUGUGUGCUUUCAACCAAGCUUUGUUGGCUAAACAAGCUUGGAGGUUAACUGAAACUCCUGGUAGUCUAUGUGCUCACUUCUUGCAAGCAAAAUAUUACCCUAAUGAAAAUAUUAUGGACAUAGUGUUUUCUAGGAAGUCUUUCGUAGUUUGGAAAGGGAUUAUUCAUGGUCUAGAGCUUGUGAAGCAGGGUAUCAUUUGGUGCGUUGGAGAUGGUACGUCCGUUCGUGUGUGGCGGGAUCUUUGGAUCCCAUUCCGUGUUGAUUUCCAACCAAUUACACCCAAGAGGAAUUGUAGAUUCAAUUGGGUGGCAGAUUUUCUUAAUGUUGAUGGUUCAUGGAAUAGACAUCAAUUAGAGGAUCAUUUCUGGCCAAUGGUUGUAUGUCAGAUUCCAAAAAUUCGUGCUUCGCCUCAAAUAGGCAAGACUUCAGAGCUUGCUUCACUGGCAAGUUUGGUCGGUUUAGUGUUAAAAAUGCUUACAAGCUUGCGACAGCGGAACUUCAUGACAUAUUUGCGGGUGGUGCAUCUAGCACUAACCCUAAUGGUGAUAGGGCCUUAUGGGAUUGUAUCUGGAAGGCACAAGAUCCAUUCAAGAUGA
rnacentral:rRNA from 1 species